rnacentral:lncRNA from 1 species
AGUAUUCUAUAUUGCAAGUUGAAAUUAUGUCUCCUAUGAUGAAUAGAACUUGAAUCGGGUACUCUUGAACUCCUAACUCAUGUUUGGACAAAGUGAACAAAAGUGCCAUAAAGGGGCACUUGAACUAGUAAACUGUGAAACUGCAACAUAGAGACAUAGAAAUAGGCCAUUGUGACAUCGACUAUAUUCCGUGUUUUAGACACGAUGACAUAGUGAUAGCCCAUUGAGACAUAGGUUAUAUUCCAUGGUUUAGAUAUGAUGACUUGAGACUUGAGACAGAUUUUACGCUUGCUUGCCCUUGUGCUCAUUCGCACAUGCUUGUGAUGGUCGCUCCCUAUAAGCCGGCACUCUGAAGAUAGCCAUCGCG